AUGGCUUACGAGUCCCAAAUAGGACGAAAUGCGCAUCCUGGAU
rnacentral:hammerhead_ribozyme from 1 species